CUACGGGCCGCUCCAGUGAGGAAUAUUGCACAAUGGGGGGAACCCUGAUGCAGCAACGCCGCGUGGAGGAUGACGCAUUUCGGUGUGUAAACUCCUUUUAUAUGUCAAGAAAAUGACGGUAGCAUAUGAAUAAGCACCGGCUAACUCCGUGCCAGCAGCCGCGGUAAUACGGAGGGUGCAAGCGUUACUCGGAAUUACUGGGCGUAAAGGACGCGUAGGCGGGUUGGAAAGUCAGGUGUGAAAUCCUACAGCUUAACUGUAGAACUGCACUUGAAACUUCUAAUCUAGAGUAUGGGAGGGGGAGAUGGAAUUAGUGGUGUAGGGGUAAAAUCCGUAGAUACCACUAGGAAUACCUAAAGCGAAGGCGAUCUCCUGGAGCAUUACUGACGCUAAGGCGUGAAAGCGUGGGGAGCAAACAGGAUUAGAUACCCGUGUAGUC
rnacentral:rRNA from 1 species